AAGUCAAGUCUAAUGAAAGUUUGUCCUUCAUGAAACUCCUAACUCCAUCUAGUUUGAGCAUUUAUGAGCUUUUCAUUUUCGGAGGGCUAGUUUAAGUUUGUGGGUAAACAGAUGAAUUAAGAUCUAGUUGCAGAGGAGCUCGUGCAGUUUUAAUGGAUGGCAGAGCUGUCUCAUCAGAAAAUAAUGCAGGCUGAAGUGACAGCAUCUGACUGUCCCCUUGGUUGUCUCUAUUUUUAUGAAUGGUUUUAGAGUGCUUGAUCCCUACUCAGAGCUAUGGUGCUGGCUGGAUUUGGGAAACAAUAGUUUUACCUUCCCGGUGUUUUAAUUGAAAUCAUAUGUGGCCAUCCUCUGACGGGGUAGCAUCGUUUUUCUUUUAUAUCAUCCUUAAAGAACUUCUUCAAGAAAGAAGCCACUUCCCCUGGUAUUGGUGAGCAAUGCAGAAGGGGAGGGAGGAGAAGGUGAACCCCUCGCUUGCCGAUAGCACCCCCACAUUCUCUUCAGACUGGCCCUUUCUCCCUCACUGCACCCGUAGCUUCCACCCUUCCUUCUCUCCGCCUUCCUCUUCCUCCUGCUCCCUCCAGCCUCAGUGAGAGCCUCCAUUUUCAGCCCACACUUCCUUGGUCCACUCAGGGAAACCACACCCUACAGUGAGAUGGGCCCUGCUUCCUUGGAAAGAGCAGAGAUCAUCAUUAGCAGUUCCUGGACAGUAGAAGAUGAGAAACCAAGGCACAGAGUCGAUACUUGACUGCUGGGAAUGGGAUUCAGAUUCUGGGGUCUGAUCUCAGAGCCUAUGCUCUUCACCACAGGGCUGGGCCCACCCCCUGUGAUGGGGCCUUUCUGAGGAUCACAGAACGGUCAAGCUGAAGAGAACCUGCAGAUGCACACCUGCUUGGGGAGCGUACAGAAGGGAAAUUUCAGAAGCUAUUAGAUGAAGGAAAUAAGAGCUUUUACUGUUAAAAAAAUGAACAAUUGGAGCUCAGAAAAGAAUUCUUGGAGAUAAAAACAUAAUUUUUGAGAAUAAAAGAAAAACUCAGUGGAAGCAGUAAAUGGCAGAAGGGACAGAGCUCAAAUCUGAUGUGACGAAUUAGCAGCUCGAUGUGGUUUAAGGAAUUGCUGCACCCCCAGAGCAGACAGACAAAGAGGCGACAACCAUGAAAAGCACUAUUUAUGAUGAAGGGAAAUGCAGGAGAUCUCUCCUUUCACAUCACGUCAGGUUCCAGGGAGGGAGAAUGGAAAUGGUGGGGGAGAAGCGAUGAUGGAAGAAACAAGAAGUUUUCUUUGAGCUGAAGAAUGUUGGGUCAAAAAUGCUCCCCAAGG